ACGGCCAUACCAUGCUCAAUAUACCGGUUCUCGUUAGAUCACCGUAGUCAAGCAACAUUGGGCGCGGUCAGUACUUGGGUGGGUGACCACCUGGGAACACCGCGUGCCGUU
rnacentral:rRNA from 1 species